UACGUAGGGGGCAAGCGUUGUCCGGAUUUAUUGGGCGUAAAGAGCUCGUAGGCGGUUUGGUAAGUCUGGUGUGAAAUCUCCACGCUCAACGUGGAGGGGCCACCCGAUACUGCCAUGACUGGAGUCCGGUAGAGGAGUGUGGAAUUCCCGGUGUAGCGGUGAAAUGCGCAGAUAUCGGGAGGAACACCCGUAGCGAAGGCGGCACUCUGGGCCAGUACUGACGCUGAGGAGCGAAAGCGUGGGGAGCGAACAGG
rnacentral:rRNA from 1 species